GACCCAAAUUUGAAGUACAGUAGCUUAGUAGGGUCAGCUGAUACUACUGAUCUACACUACUUCGAAUUUGGGCCC
rfam:Haemonchus placei strain MHpl1 genome assembly, scaffold: HPLM_scaffold0005135